rnacentral:rRNA from 1 species
CAAUAGCGUAUAUUAAAGUUGUUGCAGUUAAAAAGCUCGUAGUUGGAUUUGUGGCGUACGGUGUGUUCCGGGCACUUGUUGUCUGAGUAACCUGCUGUUGCCAUCCUUGGGUGGAACCUGUGUGGCAUUAGGUUGUCGUGCAGGGGAUGCCCAUCAUUUACUGUGAAAAAAUUAGAGUGUUCAAAGCAAGCUUAUGCCGUUGAAUAUAUUAGCAUGGAAUAAUGAGAUAGGACUUUUUUGCUAUUUUGUUGGUUUGCGCAAAGAGGUAAUGAUUAAUAGGGACAGUUGGGGGUAUUCGUAUUCCAUUGUCAGAGGUGAAAUUCUUGGAUUUUUGGAAGACGAACUACUGCGAAAGCAUUUACCAAGGAUGUUUUCAUUAA